rnacentral:sRNA from 1 species
CUCAGUGUCCUGGUUACUGCAGCGGCAGCAACAGCAGGUCCUACUAUCGCCUCCCUCUAGUCUCUGCUUCUCUGGAUCCCUGAGGAGGGCAGAAGUGAUUCUGGUUCUUGGACAAGGUGCUGAGGAACACUAGAAACAGAGGGGACUGUGACCUGGGGACUUUUUCUGCAGGAAGAAAACAGCCCAAAGAUGAGAGUGAUUCGUGUGGGUACCCGCAAGAGCCAGCUUGCUCGCAUACAGACGGACAGUGUGGUGGCAACAUUGAAAGCCUUGUACCCUGGCCUGCAGUUUGAAAUCAUUGCUAUGUCCACCACAGGGGACAAGAUUCUUGAUACCGCACUCUCUAAGAUUGGAGAGAAGAGCCUGUUUACCAAGGAGCUUGAACAUGCCCUGGAGAAGAAUGAAGUGGACCUGGUUGUUCAUUCCUUGAAGGACCUGCCCACUGUGCUUCCUCCUGGCUUCACCAUCGGAGCCAUUUGCAAGCGGGAAAACCCUCAUGAUGCUGUUGUCUUUCACCCAAAAUUUGCUGGGAAGACCCUAGAAACCCUGCCAGAGAAGAGUGUGGUGGGAACCAGCUCCCUGCGGAGAGCAGCCCAGCUGCAGAGAAAGUUCCCGCAUCUGGAGUUCAGGAGUAUUCGGGGAAACCUCAACACCCGGCUUCGGAAGCUGGACGAGCAGCAGGAGUUCAGUGCCAUCAUCCUGGCAACAGCUGGCCUGCAGCGCAUGGGCUGGCACAACCGGGUGGGGCAGAUCCUGCACCCUGAGGAAUGCAUGUAUGCUGUGGGCCAGGUAUACUUGACCAGGGAAGCCACAUGGUGACAUAUCCCUUCCCUUUGUUCUCAACCAAGAAGCUGGUCUCACAACCUUCUGCAUUUGCUUCCC